AGAAUUUGAUCCUGGCUUAGGAUGAACGCUAGCUACAGGCUUAACACAUGCAAGUCGAGGGGAAACGACAUCGAAAGCUUGCUUUUGAUGGGCGUCGACCGGCGCACGGGUGAGUAACGCGUAUCCAACCUGCCCAUCACUUGGGGAUAACCUUGCGAAAGUAAGACUAAUACCCAAUGACGUCUCUAGAAGACAUCUGAAAGAGAUUAAAGAUUUAUCGGUGAUGGAUGGGGAUGCGUCUGAUUAGCUUGUUGGCGGGGUAACGGCCACCAAAGCAACGAUCAGUAGGGGUUCUGAGAGGAAGGUCCCCCACAUUGGAACUGAGACACGGUCCAAACUCCUAACGGGAGGCA
rnacentral:rRNA from 1 species